UGUAGUGUGUCAUAUGAUGUAUUAUGCAAGUUUUGACUUGAAUUUUGACAUGCCAAUUGUAUAUAUGCAUCAUGUGACACACACCAGAAUCUAUGAUGUGUUUUCCUCUUUUUUUUCUGUCUUAACUAAUAAAACCACUUUCAGACAUUAUUUCUCACCUCAUAUAUUUCUAUUAAUAACGGAAUCUAGGUAAACCAAAACAAACCAAACUAAAUCACACAUAAAAUUUAAACAUCUCAGACAUUUUCAUUUUCAUUUUGGGAAAGCAAACAAAAAAAAAUCCUCCUCCUCCUCCUUCUUCUUCUACCCCUGCGCACUCUUCCAUUCACAUUUCUGCAAAACCCUAAAUCAGGGUUUUUCGUUGCCUCGGCUUUUCUAUUACUCGGAAUGAGGAAUCGGAGAUGGUUUUGGUGAUGUGAAAUGGGAAACGGUGUGUGGACGGGUCGGUGGUUUCGGACCAGCCUGGCUCUUUUGCACCCUAAUGGCAAGCACGUGUCUUGGUCGAUGGUUUGUGGGGUAAUGCUAUUCGGGUUGGGCCUGAUUUCCCUCUUGACGGGUCACGUCGCCUCUCAUCUCGAAUGGUACUCUCACCGACUCCACCGCCGUACCCUCUCCACACUGGAUGGAGGUGAGGAUGAGCCAAUUGAUAUUUGGCAAUCGCAGUAUUCUAAAUACUACUAUGGAUGCGAAGAGAGGGGGCGGCAUUUUGGUCCUGCUGUACGUGAGCGCAAGUCCAAUGGCUACUUGCUGAUUGCUACAAGUGGAGGACUUAACCAACAAAGAACUGGGAUAACAGACGCAGUUGUGGUUGCAAGAAUUCUUAAUGCUACACUAGUUGUUCCUGAGUUGGAUCAUCACUCUUUCUGGAAGGAUGACAGUGACUUCGCCAAUAUUUUUGAUGUGAAUUGGUUCAUUACAUAUCUUGCAAAAGAUGUUACUAUUAUUAAAAGAGUUCCUGAUAAGAUCAUGCGGUCUAUGGAAAAGCCCCCUUAUACAAUGCGUGUCCCAAGGAAAUCAGAACCUGAAUAUUAUCUUGAUCAAGUUUUGCCAAUACUCUUGAGAAGACGGGUUCUACAAUUGACUAAAUUUGAUUAUAGACUUGCAAAUAAUCUUGAUGAUGAGCUGCAAAAAUUACGCUGCCGUGUUAAUUAUCAUGCUUUGAGAUUUACAAAACCUAUACGACAACUCGGUCAAAGAGUUGUAAUGAAAAUGCGUAAGAUGGCAAGCCGUUAUGUAGCAGUCCAUUUGAGGUUUGAGCCAGAUAUGCUAGCAUUUUCAGGUUGCUAUUUUGGUGGGGGUGAGAAAGAAAGACAUGAGCUCGGUGAAAUCAGGAAAAGGUGGACAACAUUACCUGAUUUGAGCCCUGAUGGAGAGCGAAAGCGUGGGAAAUGUCCUCUUACUCCUCAUGAAGUGGGUUUAAUGCUGCGAGCGCUGGGUUUUGCAAAUGACACAUACCUCUAUGUUGCAUCAGGAGAGAUAUAUGGUGGAGAUGAAACCAUGCAGCCUCUCAAAGAUCUCUUCCCCAACAUUUAUACAAAGGAGAUGCUUGCUGAAGAAGAGCUGAAACCUUUUCUUCCAUUCUCCUCCCGCCUUGCUGCUAUUGACUACAUCGUUUGUGAUGAAAGUAAUGUGUUUGUCACUAACAACAAUGGUAACAUGGCCAAAAUCCUAGCUGGACGUAGGAGGUAUAUGGGUCACAAAAGAACCAUCAGACCUAAUGCAAAGAAGCUUAGUGCACUAUUCACAUCAAGGCACGAGAUGGUCUGGGAUACAUUUGCAAGCAAGGUUAAAGCAUGCCAAAGAGGAUUCAUGGGAGAGCCAGAUGAGAUGAGACCUGGCCGAGGAGAGUUUCACGAAUACCCAAGCACGUGUGUGUGUGAGAAACCGUUUAUGGAUGAUCUGAGUCAAGAUGGAACCCGUCCGAAGAAAGUGUUGUAAGCAGACAAUGAAAUUGUUGCCGGCGAAGAAAGUGUUGUACUAAGGUAAUUGGGAGAAGGGCCAGAAAGAGAUAAAUAAACAUGAGUAAAUUUGGUACAGCGUCCUUAAUCGGAUAGAGAAGUAAGACCUCAUUAAUGGCAAGAAAUGCUCUUCGGCUACUCGUCCAUUUUAAAGUCUGAUUUGGCAACCAUCAAAUUAGUGAUAAGAUUGAAAAGAGAGAUAACGAAGUACAACGGGAGAUGAACGCAAGCUGAUAUUCAAAGGAGAAGAGGAACAUGACUUUACCAUUUGAUCAUAUCAACAAACCUUUCUAUAAACAAGUCAACAUGGAUAAAUUCCAUAUACAGCCUACAGGAUCAAAUUCAACCAUUCUGUAAACAACAUAAAAUCGAUAUUAACAUCUACUGGACUAGUCUGCCUAAAACAAAGGAAACAAGAAUUUCCAUUCCUAUGUUCCCUAUUAUAAAUAAAUAUACACAUCUAUGCCGAGUG